rnacentral:lncRNA from 1 species
GUCUUUCUGCCAAAGCUGACAGCAUAAUACCAUCUCCUACUGUCAUCACCACGCCCCUGGGACCGAGCGGGGUUUCUGUCAGAAGCCAUCACGCAUGCUGGGUGGUGACAGUCCACCGUGAGGCGAAGCCAAGCCUAGAGAGGCCAACCAGCAAGAAGGAAAGGUAGACCUGGAACCCUAACGGCACUGUUCUCAGUAGCCCUUGCUUCCCCUCUCGAACUGAGAGGUGUGUGGCAGAGGGGAGCAAGUGACGAACUAUGUACAGCUGAGGAGGAGGCAAAGCCAUGAAAGGCUGAAGCCACAGCAGUGCUACGCGCUUGCACAGGUGCACACCGAAGCCCAGGCUCAUCUGGAGGAAGGCCAGAGAGAAAGAAACAACAGACAGACUAUGGGAGCCCACUGGCCAGUACUGCGCUAAGAGUUCAUCAGGGCUGAUCUCCCCUUUAAUCUUCACCACAACUCUGCAAGGUGAACUCGGCUUUAACAAAGAAACUGGGGCCAACAAGUUACCAAUCUUUUCCAGGCUACAAAAAUAAAAGAGAAGGCUGAGGUUUUUAAAAGAGAAUUGCCUGGUUGCCCCCAACACCUAUGUUCUCUGUGCUCUUCGUUCUGAUGCCAACUGUAUUCCUGUAUCCAAAUCUUAUUAAUGAAUAUUUUCAAAAGUAUUUCAUGACUAUAAAUGAUCUGAAAAUAUUUCUUUAACCUUUCUUUUUUUUUUUUUUUUGCGGUACCUGGCAUCAAACUCACGACCUUGCGCUUGCCAGGCAGGCGCUUAUGCCACUGAGCUAUAUCCCCACCCUGUCUUUAGUAUUUCGAUUGCAUUCAAACCUCGGUAAACGUAAUUUGUUAGCCAAACUGUAAUACUUGACUGAAAGGGAAUACUACUUACAAUUAUGCAGAGUUAAAAGGUUUAAGUCAGUUAUCAUAAACAUCACUAUUACAACGGGAAAAUUUAAAUAGUAUUUUUGCCAGGUCUACUCCAGAAUAAAAAAAUGCAUUUUUAGUAACUCAUACAAUUUUGUUACAAAAGAAGGUAUCUUUGUUACAAAGAUAAAUGUCUUAAAGUGUUUCUUUCAAAAUUAUAUGCUACUACUCUUAAGAGAAAGACUAAAACAGUUUAAGUACAUGAACAGAUGACAAAAUUAUAUACAUCUUGGCUACUUAAAC